rnacentral:rRNA from 1 species
GACGGAGGAUGCAAGUGUUAUCCGGAAUCACUGGGCGUAAAGCGUCUGUAGGUGGUUUAAUAAGUCAACUGUUAAAUCUUGAGGCUCAACUUCAAAAUCGCAGUCGAAACUAUUAGACUAGAGUAUAGUAGGGGUAAAGGGAAUUUCCAGUGGAGCGGUGAAAUGCGUAGAGAUUGGAAAGAACACCAAUGGCGAAAGCACUUUACUGGGCUAUCACUGACACUGAGAGACGAAAGCUAGGGGAGCGAAUGGGAUUAGAACUACCGUAGUCAGUCCAAGACCAGUCU